GACGAACGCUGGCGCCGUGCUUAACACAUGCAAGUCGAACGGUAAGGCCCUUCGGGGUACACGAGUGGCGAACGGGUGAGUAACCCGUGGGCGAUCUGCCCUGCACUUCGGGAUAAGCCUGGGAAACUGGGUCUAAUACCGGAUAGGACCACUGCCUGCAUGGGUGGUGGUGGAAAGCGUUUGCGGUGUGGGAUGGGGCCGCGGCCUGUCAGCUUGUUGGUGGGGUGAUGGCCUACCAAGGCGACGACGGGUAGCCGGCCUGAGAGGGUGACCGGCCACACUGGGACUGAGAUACGGCCCAGACUCCUACGGGAGGCAGCAGUGGGGAAUAUUGCACAAUGGGCGCAAGCCUGAUGCAGCGACGCCGCGUGAGGGAUGACGGCCUUCGGGUUGUAAACCUCUUUCAGCACCGACGAAGCGCAAGUGACGGUAGGUGCAGAAGAAGGACCGGCCAACUACGUGCCAGCCGCCGCGGUAACAC
rnacentral:rRNA from 1 species